GGUGUAGCAGCAUUUUGCCCAUAUCAGAAAGAAAGAAGUAGACGGAGAGUAGAGAAAACAAACAAAAUAAGCUCAAAGUUUUGGUUCAUAGCCAUGGAUGGGAGGCAUGUUAUCCUUGGCCUUCUCAUAGCACUUGUGUUCGUUGGCAAUGCUUCUUUUGUUAUUGGAGAAUGCUGGGAAACAACAUCUAGUAGUCCAAUAUGUGUGGGGUUUAUGUGCAAGGCUACUUGCUGGAUUGGUGCAAAAGCAACAAAUGGGAAAGUCAUAGAAGCCACAUGUACUGGAUCAGUGAUCAAGAGCGAGUGUUACUGUCGUUAUUGUGACAAAAACUAGAGUUGAAAUUAUGUUGAACCAGAUGUACCAGAGACAUGUAUCAAAUCCCCAUGUAUGUACUUUACAUUGGGAUGAAACUCUCUAUAGAUGUGAUAUCAAUAAUGGUGAUGCAUGCAUGUGUGUAGUUUGUAUCAGAUGUGAUAAUAUCAAAAUAGAAUACAUGUAAGAGUUGAGUGAGUUGACAUUAUGCUUCUGUGCGACUAGUACUGUUGUGAAAUGUCAUAAGCCAUUUAAGC